rfam:Photobacterium profundum SS9 chromosome 2
UCAUUGGCCAACGAUGGGGUCUGAAGGAAGCCAUAGGAAGUUAGAGGUACAUAACGUAAGUGAACCCAUAUGUGGCGUGAUUGGUGGGUAAGUGUCCGCAAUAGCACGAAGCCCGAUACUCAGACAAACCAAUUACGUGAAAGGGAUGGGAUCUCUAACAGGGACUGGU